rnacentral:lncRNA from 1 species
GAAACCACAACUAAGUUAUUUGAAUAUCUAAUAGAACACUUGUUUAGGUGUGGAGGUUAUUUGUGUAUUUUUUAUUUUCUGUUUUCAGCAUGUCUAGAACAUAAAAGUCAUUCUUCACCUAUUGCACUUAUUGAUGAAAAAUCUACAAAUGAUCAUUCAUCACUUCCACAAAAGAGUCUACCUCUGGCAAAAGAAGUACUAGAUCUAUGUUUUUCUGAUGAAUAUUUCUCUGAUAAAAGACCAGCAAAAGAGGAAAAACCAACAGAUGACCAAGAACCAGUAAAAAGAAUAAUCCAAAAGAAAGAAAAUAAAGAUCACUUUGAACUUGACUGCAUAGGACCAUCUAUUAAAUCAUCUUCCUCUUCAAUAAUUAAAAAAGCAUCUUUUGAACAUGGUAAAAAACAAGAGAAUGAUUUAGACCUUUUGAACGACUUUAUUAUGCUGCGAAAUAAAUAUAAGACUUGCACCUCAAAGACUGAAGUCAGAAACAGUGAUGAAAAACAUGAUAAAGAAGAAUGUUCUUUGACUCUUCAAGAGGAAAGUCCUAUUGUUCAUAUUAAUAAAACCCUAGAGGAAAUAAAUCAGGAAAGGGGAACAGAUAAUGUCAUUGAAAUUCAAGCGUCAGAUAGCCAGUGCCAAGCAUUUUGCCUCCUUGAAGCAGCAGCUUCUCCUAUCUUAAAAAACCUUGUAUCCUUCUGUACUCUCCCUACUGCUAAUUGGAAAUUUGCCACUGUUAUUUUUGACCAAACAAGGUUUCUCUUAAAGGAACAAGAAAAAGUAGUAAGUGAUGCUGUUUACCAAGUUCCAUACGGCUAGAUCGAAGAGGACAAGUAGAAGUUAACAGGAGCUAAAGCCUGGAGAAACAAGAAAGAGCCAACUCAUGGAGAGCCCUCUAAGCCACACAAAAGAAUUUCAGGGAUGCUACUGGAUUACAUUUAUCUUUCAAAAGGUUAAUUCUGAUGGCAAUAUAGAGAGUCAGUGGGAGGUCUGAAGAUGAGGAGGCAGAAAGAACAUAAGUCAGUCUCUAAGUUGCCCAUCAGUCUAGCAAUUUUAAUAUAAAAAUAGAAUAUGCACAUAUCUAAAACUCGAACAUAAACAUUAAAAUUUUUUAAAUUUAUUAUUUCAUUUAUUACCCAAAUAUUCAUUAAACACCUAAUCUACAUGAGUUACCAUGCCAGGUCCUCUAGUGCAGUAAUUUACAAAAUUCCAUGCAGCAGAAUCACAUGAAUAGCUUUUAAGACAUAGAAAUAAUUAGGACACAAUCUAGAUGUACUGAAUACGAACCUUCAAGGAUAAAUCUAUAUUUAAAACUGCCCUUAGUGAGCAUGAAUUAGGCACUGCUGUUUUAGCAGCUAUAUGAAUUAAAUAUGUAUAAA